rnacentral:rRNA from 1 species
CACAUGCAAGUCGAGCGGUAGCACAGAGAGCUUGCUCUCGGGUGACGAGCGGCGGACGGGUGAGUAAUGUCUGGGAAACUGCCUGAUGGAGGGGGAUAACUACUGGAAACGGUAGCUAAUACCGCAUAACGUCGCAAGACCAAAGUGGGGGACCUUCGGGCCUCAUGCCAUCAGAUGUGCCCAGAUGGGAUUAGCUAGUAGGUGGGGUAACGGCUCACCUAGGCGACGAUCCCUAGCUGGUCUGAGAGGAUGACCAGCCACACUGGAACUGAGACACGGUCCAGACUCCUACGGGAGGCAGCAGUGGGGAAUAUUGCACAAUGGGCGCAAGCCUGAUGCAGCCAUGCCGCGUGUGUGAAGAAGGCCUUCGGGUUGUAAAGCACUUUCAGCGGGGAGGAAGGCGGUGAGGUUAAUAACCUCACCGAUUGACGUUACCCGCAGAAGAAGCACCGGCUAACUCCGUGCCAGCAGCCGCGGUAAUACGGAGGGUGCAAGCGUUAAUCGGAAUUACUGGGCGUAAAGCGCACGCAGGCGGUCUGUCAAGUCGGAUGUGAAAUCCCCGGGCUCAACCUGGGAACUGCAUUCGAAACUGGCAGGCUAGAGUCUUGUAGAGGGGGGUAGAAUUCCAGGUGUAGCGGUGAAAUGCGUAGAGAUCUGGAGGAAUACCGGUGGCGAAGGCGGCCCCCUGGACAAAGACUGACGCUCAGGUGCGAAAGCGUGGGGAGCAAACAGGAUUAGAUACCCUGGUAGUCCACGCUGUAAACGAUGUCGAUUUGGAGGUUGUGCCCUUGAGGCGUGGCUUCCGGAGCUAACGCGUUAAAUCGACCGCCUGGGGAGUACGGCCGCAAGGUUAAAACUCAAAUGAAUUGACGGGGGCCCGCACAAGCGGUGGAGCAUGUGGUUUAAUUCGAUGCAACGCGAAGAACCUUACCUGGUCUUGACAUCCACAGAACUUUCCAGAGAUGGAUUGGUGCCUUCGGGAACUGUGAGACAGGUGCUGCAUGGCUGUCGUCAGCUCGUGUUGUGAAAUGUUGGGUUAAGUCCCGCAACGAGCGCAACCCUUAUCCUUUGUUGCCAGCGGUUAGGCCGGGAACUCAAAGGAGACUGCCAGUGAUAAACUGGAGGAAGGUGGGGAUGACGUCAAGUCAUCAUGGCCCUUACGACCAGGGCUACACACGUGCUACAAUGGCAUAUACAAAGAGAAGCGACCUCGCGAGAGCAAGCGGACCUCAUAAAGUAUGUCGUAGUCCGGAUUGGAGUCUGCAACUCGACUCCAUGAAGUCGGAAUCGCUAGUAAUCGUAGAUCAGAAUGCUACGGUGAAUACGUUCCCGGGCCUUGUACACACCGCCCGUCACACCAUGGGAGUGGGUUGCAAAAGAAGUAGGUAGCUUAACCUUCGGGAGGGCGCU